rnacentral:rRNA from 1 species
UACGUAGGGGGCAAGCGUUGUCCGGAUUUAUUGGGCGUAAAGAGCGUGUAGGCGGCCAUACAGGUCAGCUGUGAAAACUCGAGGCUCAACCUCGAGACGUCGGUUGAAACCGUAUGGCUAGAGUCCGGAAGAGGAGAGUGGAAUUCCCGGUGUAGCGGAGAAAUGCGCAGAUAUCGGGAAGAACACCCGUGGCGAAGGCGGCUCUCUGGGACGGUACUGACGCUGAGACGCGAAAGCGUGGGGAGCGAACAGG